CGCCUGAGGAUGGCUGCGUCCGAUAGUCGUGUGGGGUAUGCCCACAGCUGCGAUCGGUACGGGCAGUGAAGCUGAAGCCCGAGUUGGGGACUGAGACAAGGCCCCAGGCCCUACGGGCGCAGCAGGCGCGAAACCUCUGCAAUGCGGGAAACCGUGACAGGGGGAUCCCAAGUGCUCAUGCAUUGCAUGGGCUGUUCUUUGGUCUAAGUAACCAGAGGAGUAAGGGCUGGGCAAGACCGGUGCCAGCCGCCGCGGUAAUACCGGCAGCUCAAGUGGUAGCCGCGAUUAUUGGGCCUAAAACGUUCGUAGCCGGAUAAGUAAGUCUUUGGUUAAAUCCUGCGACUCAACCGUGGGAAUUCUAGAGAUACUGCUCGUCUUGAGACCGGGAGAGGUUGGAGGUACUCCUAGGGUAGGGGUGAAAUCCUGUAAUCCUAGGGGGACCACCUGUGGMGAAGRCGUCCAACUGGAACGGGUCUGACGGUGAGGGACGAAACCUAGGGGAGCGAGCCGGAUUAGAUACCCGGGUAGUCCUAGGCGUAAAUGAUGCGAGUUAAGUGUGGGGGCAUCUACGAGAUGGCCCUGUGCUGUAGGGUAGCCGUUAAACUCGCUGCCUGGGGAGUACGGUCGCAAGGCUGAAACUUAAAGGAAUUGGCGGGGGAG
rnacentral:rRNA from 1 species